UACAGAGGUCCCAAGCGUUGUUCGGAAUUACUGGGCGUAAAGGGCGCGUAGGCGGCCUUCUAAGUCGAACGUGAAAUCCCCGGGCUCAACCCGGGAACUGCGUCCGAUACUGGAAGGCUUGAAUCCGGGAGAGGGAUGCGGAAUUCCAGGUGUAGCGGUGAAAUGCGUAGAUAUCUGGAGGAACACCGGUGGCGAAGGCGGCAUCCUGGACCGGUAUUGACGCUGAGGCGCGAAAGCCAGGGGAGCAAAGCGGG
rnacentral:rRNA from 1 species